ensembl:snRNA U6 U6 spliceosomal RNA
AUGUAGCAUGGCACACAUACGUGGAAAUUGGAACAGUGCAGAGAAGGUUAGCAUGGCUCCUGUGCAAGGAUAACACACAAAUUUGUGAUGUGUUCCAUACUUUU